AUUGAACGCUAGCGGGAUGCCUUACACAUGCAAGUCGAACGGAGUGGCGGACGGGUGAGUAAUAUAUCGGAACGUGCCCGGUAGAGGGGGAUAACUACUCGAAAGAGUGGCUAAUACCGCAUACUAUCGGAGUGGCCGAUAUGGGAUUAGCUAGUUGGUGGGGUAACGGCUCACCAAGGCGACGAUCCGUAGCUGGUUUGAGAGGACGACCAGCCACACUGGGACUGAGACACGGCCCAGACUCCGACGGGAGGCAGCAGUGGGGAAGAUUGGACAAUGGGCGAAAGCCUGAUGCAGCCAUCCCGCGUGUAUGAAGAAGGCCUUCGGGUUGUAAAGUACUUUCGGCAGGGAAGCGGUAUCUGCAGAAGAAGCACCGGCUAACUACGUGCCAGCAGCCGCGGUAAUAC
rnacentral:rRNA from 1 species